rnacentral:rRNA from 1 species
UACGUAGGCAGCAAGCGUUGUUCGGAGUUACUGGGCGUAAAGGGUGUGUAGGCGGUUGGAUAAGAGUGGUGUGAAAUCUCCCGGCUUAACUGGGAGGGUGCGCUACAGACUGUCCGACUAGAGUGUGGGAUGGGAGAGUGGAAUUCCUGGUGUAGCGGUGAAAUGCGUAGAUAUCAGGAGGAACACCAAUGGCGAAGGCAGCUCGCUGGGACGGUACUGACGCUGAGACGCGAAAGCGUGGGGAGCGAACAGG